CCCCCCGCCCUGCAUUCGGCUCCGAAGCACGACCUUCCAGCUCCUCCUUUGCUCCAGAUGAGGGAGAAUAAGGGAGUUCUGAGCCUGUCGCUGUUCUGCAGCAGGCUGGGAGGCAGUGUCACCUACUCUCUGAGUGGAUCGUCAGGCAGAAGUAUUGAUCCACGACAAAUUGGAAAAGAAGCAAAAGAACUGGUCUUUCAGCACAGGCAGUGCAGAGACAGAAGCACUGUGUCAGCCAACCCCACCAGGUCUUCUGAGUCAUGUUUUAUGUGGGAGGAAUAUAGUGAUUUCUUAGAAUAUCAAGGAUACCUACAUCUCACUGUGAGAACAUAAGGAGACAAUGGAUGUGUUAUCAACACUCUAAAACUGCCCGCGUUUCCUGUUACCGGGUUUCUUGGGCUUCAUGACAAUGCGGACUCCCUCUAGUGGCCAAAGGAACAUACGUAAAUUCACAG